rnacentral:rRNA from 1 species
UCAAGCUACAAAGGGCGCAUGGUGAAUGCCUUGGCAUCAGGAGCCGAUGAAGGACGUGAUAAGCUGCGAUAAGCUUCGGGUAGGCGCACAUAGCCAGUGAUCCGGAGAUUUCCGAAUGUGGGAACACACAUGGGAAACCCCAUGUAUCGUAUAGUGAAUACAUAGCUAUACGAGGGUAAACCUAGGGAACUGAAACAUCUAAGUACCUAGAGGAAGAGAAAGAAAAAUCGAUUUCCUUAGUAGCGGCGAGCGAAAGGGAAAGAGCCCAAACCAAAGAUUUAUCUUUGGGGUUGCGGACAGAGCAUUAACGAGAAGUCGUAACUAACCGAACAUAACUGGAAAGUUAGACCGUAGGAGGUAAUAGUCCUGUAGGUGAAAGUUAAGAUAAUCAAGCUCUGAUCCAGAGUACCACGAGACACGUGAAACCUUGUGGGAAGCAGGGAGGACCACCUCCCAAGGCUAAAUACUACCUGAUGACCGAUAGUGAAGCAGUACCGUGAGGGAAAGGUGAAAAGAACCCCGGGAGGGGAGUGAAAUAGAACCUGAAACCGUGUGCCUACAACCGGUCAAAGCCCCAUAUGAGGGUGAUGACGUGCUUUUUGUAGAACGAGCCAACGAGUUACGGUAUGUAGCAAGGUUAAGUACUUAAGGUACGGAGCCGAAGGGAAACCGAGUCUUAAUAGGGCGACUAGUUGCAUGCCGUAGACCCGAAACCGGGUGACCUAUCCAUGGCCAGGUUGAAGCGAGGGUAAAACUUCGUGGAGGACCGAACCACGUUGCUGUUGAAAAAGCAUGGGAUGAGCUGUGGAUAGCGGAGAAAUUCCAAUCGAACUCGGAGAUAGCUGGUUCUCCCCGAAAUAGCUUUAGGGCUAGCGUCGGAUAUGUGUAGUGGAGGUAGAGCACUGAAUGGGCUAGGGGGCAUAGCGCUUACCGAACCUUAUCAAACUCCGAAUGCCACAUACAUUAAGUCCGGCAGUCAGACUACGAAUGAUAAGAUCCGUGGUCAAAAGGGAAACAGCCCAGAUCGUCAGCUAAGGUCCCAAAGUGUAAGUUAAGUGGAAAAGGAUGUGGGAUUUCUAAGACAACUAGGAUGUUGGCUUAGAAGCAGCCACUCAUUUAAAGAGUGCGUAAUAGCUCACUAGUCGAGAGAUCCUGCGCCGAAAAUGUCCGGGGCUCAAACUUACCACCGAAGCUACGGGCUUGCAUUAGCAAGCGGUAGGGGAGCGUCGUAAUCGGGCUGAAGUCGUACCGUAAGGAGCGGUGGACUGAUUACGAGUGAGAAUGUUGGCAUUAGUAGCGAGAUGUAGGUGAGAAUCCUACAGGCCGAAUAUCUAAGGUUUCCUCAGGAAGGCUCGUCCGCUGAGGGUUAGUCGGGACCUAAGCCGAGGCCGAAAGGCGUAGGCGAUGGACAAUCGGUUGAUAUUCCGAUACCACUACCAUCGUUAUUAUCGAGGGUGUGACGGAGAAGGAUAGUGUGUGCUAGCGAUUGGAAAUGCUAGUCUAAGCGUUUAGGGAGUUACGGUAGGCAAAUCCGCUGUAACAAUUCUGAGGCGUGAUGGGGAAGGCCAUAUAGGCCGAAGUACAUGAUUCCAUGCUUCCAAGAAAAGCAUCUAGAGAGAGAAGUAGUGCCCGUACCGCAAACCGACACAGGUAGAUGAGGAGAGAAUCCUAAGGCCGGCGGAAGAAUUGCAGUUAAGGAACUAGGCAAAUUGACCCCGUAAGUUCGCGAGAAGGGGUGCCUGCGAGAGCAGGCCGCAGAGAAUAGGCCCAAGCAACUGUUUAGCAAAAACACAGGUCUCUGCUAAAGCGCAAGCUGAUGUAUAGGGGCUGACGCCUGCCCGGUGCUGGAAGGUUAAGGGGAACACUUAGCGCAAGCGAAGGUGUGAACUUAAGCCCCAGUAAACGGCGGCCGUAACUAUAACGGUCCUAAGGUAGCGAAAUUCCUUGUCAGGUAAGUUCUGACCCGC